CCUGAGAACCAGAGAGACUCAAUCUAACAGACUCACCUGAAUUCAAAACCUACAAACAGACAAAUGCCUCCAGUCAUCGGUUUGAAAGAAGGAGGAAAAGGAAUUCUAUCUUCUACAGACUAUGCUGAUUUGUCUGCAGACGGUGUCCGAGUUGUCAUCUGUCCACUGAUCUGUGGACACUUGUUUCCAACUGCCCUCGUACAGGACCUCCACUCUGCCCGCACACUUUCCAGGAGCGUCCACCAGUCUCACGUCUAAACUUCCUGCACCGGAAGAAAAAAUAUGAACAAACACAGACGGAAAGAAAGAUAACUAGGACGGCACACAGUCAUUACAGGGCCCUCACGUCCAGAUGCAAGACGGGGAGUGCAGCAGUUCCCUGACCUCACUUUUGAAUCAAAAUGGCUGAC